UUCUAUCAAAUCACACUGUGAGAUUAUAAUGAGGUUCAUGUCAUUUUUGCACUUUGCACAAUUAUUUUGCAAUAAGACAUUUGUAUACAAAAGGAUGUUAGUGAUAUAUCUUGUUUCUGUUUCACCUCUUACAUUGUUGUAGAAUCCACUAACAGGACUACACAAGUCAUGUUAGUGGAACUCCCACCAGUUUUACCUUUAGGCUGUGUGAUUCCCACCAACAGGUUCCACUAAGAAACAACAGGAAUGAUGAGGUGAAGGAUGAACUUGCAGAUGCUGCGUUUGUGGAUAAGCACAUGAGUGCACUAAUCAAGAGGGUCACAAUGGUAAUGGCUAUAGCAGAUGACCUACUGGGAGAGGACAUGAUCCAAGAUUAAAUGUAUUUGGAUAUUAAUGCAGCCGAGACCAGUGAGAAAAAAAUGAGAGUUCUGUACAAGGCUCUACGCUCAGGAGGACCACUGAUUAAAUCAGCCUUCUACACAGCUCUCCAAACUAAUGAACCUAAUCUUGUCAAGGACUUGGCUUCCCCCUGAUAACAGACCUGGCUUGGGUUGGUCCUUCAAGUGUUGGACAAAGGACAGCAAGCAGUCUCACUGGCUGUGGGACAGCAGCGGAGUUACUACUCUCCUAAUGCCCUAUGGGUGUUGGGGGAUAUAACCAACUAGCUCUAUCAUCCUCUUUUGUUGUUGUGGCUUUAUGCAAACUGGAACCUGUGCACUUGCAAUCUGUUGUAGCCUUGUACUUUGUUUUCAUCUGAAUGUUUUAUGUGUUUUUGUUUUUGUCAAACCCCAAAAGUUUGUCACAAUUUAUUUGACCAGAGGACAAUACCAGUGGAAACAGUGCCAUGAAGUAAAGUG